AAAGAGGAGCAGCAGGAAGUGUAAUGCUCCCAGCAAGACCAGCUGCACCUAGAGCCCACACUGAGAUGAGGGGAGCUCCUUCCCAGGCUUGCAGCACAGGUGCUGCCUCACAACAAACUUUGUUUCCCAGGCGAAUGGCUUCCUGAGCAGACAGGAUAAAUAAAAGGUGAUGUGUCAGACUGUGCUUUCUCUCCAGAAAUUGGAAAGGAUGGCUUUUAAAGUUGUGCUGAAGGCAGCAGUGACGCUACCACUUGCCUACAGUGACUCCUUCACUGGAUUUUACCUAAUAUGUUAUCCUGCAGGAUAUGUAUUCCCUAAUGUGCCCACCACCUCUCCUGCUGGGAAUGGAAAUAUGCCUGUCUUUCAGCAGACAUUCUAUUCUCUCCUGACCAUCCUGGUGGACCUUCUCUGCAAGUCUUUCCCAGCCCUUCUUAUCGUUUCACCUGACAGUUUUCAUUUGGGAAAAGCUCCCUGCUUUGUUGAGUUUGGGAUUUUUUGGCAACAUUGCCUGAAAUGUUCAAAUCUGCUGGAAAAGUUGGAGUUCUGCUGCGACACUUCCUGGGCUGCUUGCCUGGAAGGAUCAUCUUAAUCUCACAUUCUCCCUGUGGGGAAAGAAGGGAGCUGACAAGACCUGGGGAGGGAGAGGAGUUGGCAGUGGCAGCAGGGCAGUUGGAGGAAGUCUGCAACAGAGUGUGAGAGAAGAGGAGGAGGAGGAAGAGGAGGGUCUGCCAGCAGUCCCCCCAGCAGCCAGCUUGGCAGACGUCUGCCAGCCUCAUUGGAAGAGAAGACCUUCAUGAAAAUCUUCUAAGUCCUCAACUGGCAUGAUAAAGGAAAAGAAACAGAAGAAUCAAUCUAUUUUGGUCUCCUUUAAAACAGCCAGAGACUCACUCAGCACUGCUGAUGCAGAAGAUGACACCAUCUUUAUCUGGAACAGUUUUCCAUGAGACUGUUUUAUCCCCAUUUCCAAACAAAAUUCUUUUCAUCCAUGCCCAGUUUGCUCCUCUCUCUUUACACAAUUUUUUUCAGUUUCCUUAUUUGUCCUUUAUAUUCUAACCUUGUAUUAAAACAUCUUUCUCUCUCUUGCCUGCUGGCAAAGCACAGGUUAUUUUUAUUUCUCCCAGAGGUGCAAAGCACAGACUAGCACAGUCCAAAGCAUCAUUUCUUCUGCCUUGUUUGCUUCUCUAACCACAGUUCAAGUGGCUCCAGGGCAACAGUCUCCAGACCCCGUAGCCUGGGCAGUGUUGUUACCUGUUACCUCCAGAUUUAUUACUCACAAACACACUGUGAGACCUUGUGCUAGCUCAAGCAAUGUGUCCAUGUUGCUGAGAGCACUUUUCUGUGCUGCUGGAUCACCAAGCUUUGGAUGAGGUAGGGACAUCCAAACACUUUGGACAAGGUGUAAAGUUUCCCAAAGCCCCCCCCAAAAAAACCACACUGUCCGUUUUGUAGCUGUGUGCAUUCUCUGCAACAUUCUUCCCUUUCUCCUUCACAGGGCCAGAUUUAAAUAAAAAAACAGCAUUUUUUUAUUUGUUGUUUUUUUUUCUUGCCAAGAACCUUGUCACCAAGAAAAGAGCUGGAGACUUCCUUCUUCCUGGCCAUAAAGACUGACUUGUUU